rnacentral:rRNA from 1 species
GAUGAACGCUGGCGGCGUGCCUAAUACAUGCAAGUCGAGCGAACAGACGAGGAGCUUGCUCCUCUGACGUUAGCGGCGGACGGGUGAGUAACACGUGGAUAACCUACCUAUAAGACUGGGAUAACUUCGGGAAACCGGAGCUAAUACCGGAUAAUAUAUUGAACCGCAUGGUUCAAUAGUGAAAGACGGUUUUGCUGUCACUUAUAGAUGGAUCCGCGCCGAAUUAGCUAGUUGGUAAGGUAACGGCUUACCAAGGCAACGAUGCGUAGCCGACCUGAGAGGGUGAUCGGCCACACUGGAACUGAGACACGGUCCAGACUCCUACGGGAGGCAGCAGUAGGGAAUCUUCCGCAAUGGGCGAAAGCCUGACGGAGCAACGCCGCGUGAGUGAUGAAGGUCUUCGGAUCGUAAAACUCUGUUAUUAGGGAAGAACAAAUGUGUAAGUAACUAUGCACGUCUUGGCGGUACCUAAUCAGAAAGCCACGGCUAACUACGUG